AAGGGAUUUACUUGGUACUGUAGGCCGA
rnacentral:piRNA from 1 species